rnacentral:rRNA from 1 species
AGCAGCCGCGGUAAUUCCAGCUCCAAUAGCGUAUAUUAAAGUUGUUGCAGUUAAAAAGCUCGUAGUUGAAUUUCGGGGUCAGUAGGUUGGUCGUGCCACUGGUAUGUACUGGUCUUACUGGCUCCUCCCUCCUGAUGAACCGUAAUGCCAUUAAUUUGGUGUUGCGGGGAGACUGGACUGUUACUUUGAAAAAAUUAGAGUGUUUAAAGCAGGCUAACGCUUGAAUACAUUAGCAUGGAAUAAUGAAAUAGGACGUUCGAUCUUAUUUUGUUGGUUUCUAGGACCGCUGUA